AUUGAACGCUGGCGGCAGGCCUAACACAUGCAAGUCGAACGAGUGGCGGACGGGUGAGUAAUGUCUGGGAAACUGCCUGAUGGAGGGGGAUAACUACUGGAAACGGUAGCUAAUACCGCAUACCAUCAUAUGUUCCCAGAUGGGAUUAGCUAGUUGGUGGGGUAACGGCUCACCAAGGCGACGAUACCUAGCUGGUUCGAGAGGAUGACCAGCAAAACUGGAACUGAGAAACGGUCCAGACUCUUACGGGAGGCAGCAGGGGGGAAUAUUGCACAAUGGGCGCAAGCCUGAUACAGCCAUGCCGCGUGGAUGAAGAAGGCCUUCGGGUUGUAAAGUACUUUCAGAGGGGAGGCGUUACCCGAAGAAGAAGCACCGGCUAACUCCGUGCCAGCAGCCGCGGUAAUUC
rnacentral:rRNA from 1 species